rnacentral:rRNA from 1 species
GACGAUAACGAACGAGACCUCGACCUGCUAAAUAGUUGAAUUAACCCUUCGGGGUUUAUAUUGACUUCUUAGAGGGACUUUUGGUGAGUAGCCAAAGGAAGUUCGAGGCAAUAACAGGUCUGUGAUGCCCUUAGAUGUUCUGGGCCGCACGCGCGCUACACUGAUCGGUUCAUCGAGUUUACAACCUUGACUGAUAGGUCUGGGUAAUCUUUUGAAAGCCGGUCGUGCUGGGGAUAGAUCAUUGCAAUUAUUGAUCUUCAACGAGGAAUUCCUAGUAAACGCGAGUCAUCAACUCGCAUUGAUUACGUCCCUGCCCUUUGUACACACCGCCCGUCGCUAAUACCGAUUGAAUGGCUAA